GACAGAGGGUGCAAACGUUUGUUCGGAAUUACUGGGCGUAAAGCGUGUGUAGGCGGCUUUGCAAGUCGGAUGUGAAAUCCCCGGGCUCAACCCGGGAAGUGCACUCGAUACUGCUGAGCUUGAGUAUCGGAGAGGUUGGUGGAAUUCUCGGUGUAGAGGUGAAAUUCGUAGAUAUCGAGAGGAACACCGGUGGCGAAGGCGGCCAACUGGACGAAUACUGACGCUGAGACACGAAAGCGUGGGGAGCAAACAGG
rnacentral:rRNA from 1 species